rnacentral:lncRNA from 1 species
GCACACGUACACAACUAAAACAGAAUACGCAAAAGGUGCAAGAUAGAUAACAACAAAAUAGACCACAAUCGAACUGAAAGCUAAAAUAUGUAAGAAGUUACACAAAGUAAACAAGGGGGCGGGAGGUACCAAUUCCCGGUAGAAAAACCUGAAAGUAUGCUUUGAUGCGCCCAAUUUCUCCUGAAGCUUAUCAGAACGUGUGGUUCUAUUGCGUCCUGCUGCUAGUCUGAACGGUAGUCUCCGAGGCUGCUGUGGAAACUGAAAGCUAAAAUAUGUAAGAAGUUAUACAAAGUAAACAAGGGGCGGGAGGUACCAAUUCCCGGUACAAAAACCUGAAAGUAUGCUUUGAUGCGCCCAAUUUCUCCUGAAGCUUAUCAGAACGUGUGGU